rnacentral:rRNA from 1 species
UACGUAGGAUGCAAGCGUUGUCCGGAAUUAUUGGGCGUAAAGCGAACGUAGGCGGUUUCUUAAGAUUGGUCUUAAAGACCGAGGCUCAACCUCGGGAAUGGAUCGAUAACUGGGAGACUGGAGGACGUCAGAGGAAAGUGGAAUUCCGAGUGUAGCGGUGAAAUGCGUAGAUAUUCGGAGGAACACCAGUGGCGAAAGCGGCUCACUGGAUCUCUUCUGACGCUGAGGCACGAAAGCUAGGGUAGCAAACGGG